UACGUAGGGGGCAAGCGUUGUCCGGAUUUAUUGGGCGUAAAGAGCGUGUAGGCGGCCAGGUAGGUCUGCUGUGAAAACUCGAGGCUCAACCUCGAGAUGUCGGCGGAAACCAUCUGGCUAGAGUCCGGAAGAGGAAAGUGGAAUUCUUGGUGUAGCGGUGAAAUGCGCAGAUAUCAGGAAGAACACCCGUGGCGAAGGCGGCUUUCUGGGACGGUACUGACGCUGAGACGCGAAAGCGUGGGGAGCGAACAGG
rnacentral:rRNA from 1 species